UGUGGGAGCGAGCUUGCUCGCGAUUGCAGUGUGUCAGUCACCCUUGAUAUUGCUGACCCACCAUCGCGAGCGAGUUCGCUCCCACA
rnacentral:misc_RNA from 1 species